UUUUUCGAAUUUUGAAAUUUUAGUCUUAAUCGGACAAUAGUCGUUAAAUUCUGUUAUUUUCAAAUCUUAUGGGACAAAUUUAUUAUCAUACAUAAGAUUUUAUCAACUUAUUAUUUUUACAUAAUAAUCAUAAAAAAAUCAAGUCAUUUUAACUAAUGGGUUUAAACUUAAGUAACGCAAGGUAUGUUUGGAAAGUUAAAG
rnacentral:lncRNA from 1 species